rnacentral:rRNA from 1 species
GACGAACGCUGGCGGCGUGCUUAACACAUGCAAGUCGAACGGUGAAGGGAUCAGCUUGCUGGUUCUGGAUGAGUGGCGAACGGGUGAGUAACACGUGAGUAACCUGCCCCCUUCUUCUGGAUAACCGCAUGAAAGUGUGGCUAAUACGGGAUAUUCUGCGCCUGCUGCAUGGUGGGUGUGGGAAAGAUAUUGUUUCGGUGGGGGAUGGGCUCGCGGCCUAUCAGCUUGUUGGUGGGGUGAUGGCCUACCAAGGCGGUGACGGGUAGCCGGGCUGAGAGGGUGGACGGUCACACUGGGACUGAGACACGGCCCAGACUCCUACGGGAGGCAGCAGUGGGGAAUAUUGCACAAUGGGCGCAAGCCUGAUGCAGCGACGCCGCGUGAGGGAUGGAGGCCUUCGGGUUGUGAACCUCUUUCGCCAGUGAAGCAGGCCUGUCCCUUGUGGGUGGGUUGACGGUAGCUGGAUAAGAAGCGCCGGCUAACUACGUG